UGGUGGGGUUCUUUUUUUUCCAAAAACACAGCACUUUGCCAACUCGUAAGAGGAAGUAUAAGGUGUGACGCCUGCCCGGUGCUCGAAGGUUAAGAGGAUGCGUCAGUCGCAAGAUGAAGCGUUGAAUUGAAGCCCGAGUAAACGGCGGCCGUAACUAUAACGGUCCUAAGGUAGCGAAAUUCCUUGUCGGUUAAAUACCGACCUGCAUGAAUGGCGUAACGAGAUGGGAGCUGUCUCAACCAGAGAUUCAGUGAAAUUGUAGUGGAGGUGAAAAUUCCUCCUACCCGCGGCAAGACGGAAAGACCCCGUGGACCUUUACUACAACUUAGCACUGCUAACGGGAAUAUCAUGCGCAGGAUAGGUGGGAGGCUUUGAAGUAAGGGCUUUGGCUCUUAUGGAGA
rnacentral:rRNA from 1 species